GACGAACGCUGGCGGCGUGCUUAACACAUGCAAGUCGAACGAAAACGCCCGGCUUUUUUGGGGUGCUCGAGUUGAGACGGGGGGAGUAACACGUGAGUACCCUGCAACUCACUGUGGGAGGACCUCAGAACACUGGGUCUAAUACGAGAUAGGAGCUACUGCCGCAGGGUGGGGGUGGGAUAGUUUCGGUGGUUGGGGAUGGAUUCGCGUAUUAUCAGCUUGUUGGUGGGGUAGUGGCUUACCAAGGCUUUGACGGGUAGCAGGCCUGAGAGGGUGACAGGCCAAACUGGGACGGAGAUACGGCCCAGACUAGUACGGGAGGCAGCAGUGGGGAAUAUUGUACAAGGGGCGGAAGCCUGAUGUAGCAACGCCGCGUGGGGGGUGACGGCAAGCGGGUUGUAAACCACUUUCGCUUGUGACGAAGCGAUAGUGACGGUAACGGGUAAAGAAGCACCGGCUAACUACGUG
rnacentral:rRNA from 1 species